rnacentral:misc_RNA from 1 species
GAAAUGCGAUAAGUAAUGUGAAUUGCAGAAUUCAGUGAAUCAUCGAAUCUUUGAACGCACAUUGCGCCCGCCAGCAUUCUGGCGGGCAUGCCUGUUCGAGCGUCAUUUCAACCCUCGCAGCCCCUCUGGGCAGCGGUGUUGGGGACCGGCACAACUGGCGCGCCCCCGUGGCGCCCGGCGCCGCCCCCGAAAUACAGUGGCGGUCCCGCCGCAGCCUCCCUUGCGUAGUAGCACACCUCGCACCGGAGCGCGGCGCGGCCAUGCCGUAAAACCCCCGACUUUCUGAGUUUGACCUCGAAUCAGGUAGGAAUACCCGCUGAACUUAA